rnacentral:tRNA from 1 species
GACAGUUUAGUUUAAUGGUAAAUCGCUUGGCCGGAGUCUUGAAGAGAUAUGAGUUCGAGUGUCAUAGCUGUUU